UUAAGCGACUAAGCGUACACGGUGGAUGCCCUGGCAGUCAGAGGCGAUGAAGGACGUGCUAAUCUGCGAUAAGCGUCGGUAAGGUGAUAUGAACCGUUAUAACCGGCGAUUUCCGAAUGGGGAAACCCAGUGUGUUUCGACACACUAUCAUUAACUGAAUCCAUAGGUUAAUGAGGCGAACCGGGGGAACUGAAACAUCUAAGUACCCCGAGGAAAAGAAAUCAACCGAGAUUCCCCCAGUAGCGGCGAGCGAACGGGGAGCAGCCCAGAGCCUGAAUCAGUGUGUGUGUUAGUGGAAGCGUCUGGAAAGGCGCGCGAUACAGGGUGACAGCCCCGUACACAAAAAUGCACAUACUGUGAGCUCGAUGAGUAGGGCGGGACACGUGGUAUCCUGUCUGAAUAUGGGGGGACCAUCCUCCAAGGCUAAAUACUCCUGACUGACCGAUAGUGAACCAGUACCGUGAGGGAAAGGCGAAAAGAACCCCGGCGAGGGGAGUGAAAAAGAACCUGAAACCGUGUACGUACAAGCAGUGGGAGCACGCUUCGGCGUGUGACUGCGUACCUUUUGUAUAAUGGGUCAGCGACUUAUAUUCUGUAGCAAGGUUAACCGAAUAGGGGAGCCGAAGGGAAACCGAGUCUUAACUGGGCGUUAAGUUGCAGGGUAUAGACCCGAAACCCGGUGAUCUAGCCAUGGGCAGGUUGAAGGUUGGGUAACACUAACUGGAGGACCGAACCGACUAAUGUUGAAAAAUUAGCGGAUGACUUGUGGCUGGGGGUGAAAGGCCAAUCAAACCGGGAGAUAGCUGGUUCUCCCCGAAAGCUAUUUAGGUAGCGCCUCGUGAACUCAUCUUCGGGGGUAGAGCACUGUUUCGGCAAGGGGGUCAUCCCGACUUACCAACCCGAUGCAAACUGCGAAUACCGGAGAAUGUUAUCACGGGAGACACACGGCGGGUGCUAACGUCCGUCGUGAAGAGGGAAACAACCCAGACCGCCAGCUAAGGUCCCAAAGUCAUGGUUAAGUGGGAAACGAUGUGGGAAGGCCCAGACAGCCAGGAUGUUGGCUUAGAAGCAGCCAUCAUUUAAAGAAAGCGUAAUAGCUCACUGGUCGAGUCGGCCUGCGCGGAAGAUGUAACGGGGCUAAACCAUGCACCGAAGCUGCGGCAGCGACACUAUGUGUUGUUGGGUAGGGGAGCGUUCUGUAAGCCUGUGAAGGUGUGCUGUGAGGCAUGCUGGAGGUAUCAGAAGUGCGAAUGCUGACAUAAGUAACGAUAAAGCGGGUGAAAAGCCCGCUCGCCGGAAGACCAAGGGUUCCUGUCCAACGUUAAUCGGGGCAGGGUGAGUCGACCCCUAAGGCGAGGCCGAAAGGCGUAGUCGAUGGGAAACAGGUUAAUAUUCCUGUACUUGGUGUUACUGCGAAGGGGGGACGGAGAAGGCUAUGUUGGCCGGGCGACGGUUGUCCCGGUUUAAGCGUGUAGGCUGGUUUUCCAGGCAAAUCCGGAAAAUCAAGGCUGAGGCGUGAUGACGAGGCACUACGGUGCUGAAGCAACAAAUGCCCUGCUUCCAGGAAAAGCCUCUAAGCAUCAGGUAACAUUAAAUCGUACCCCAAACCGACACAGGUGGUCAGGUAGAGAAUACCAAGGCGCUUGAGAGAACUCGGGUGAAGGAACUAGGCAAAAUGGUGCCGUAACUUCGGGAGAAGGCACGCUGAUAUGUAGGUGAAGUCCCUCGCGGAUGGAGCUGAAAUCAGUCGAAGAUACCAGCUGGCUGCAACUGUUUAUUAAAAACACAGCACUGUGCAAACACGAAAGUGGACGUAUACGGUGUGACGCCUGCCCGGUGCCGGAAGGUUAAUUGAUGGGGUUAGCGGUAACGCGAAGCUCUUGAUCGAAGCCCCGGUAAACGGCGGCCGUAACUAUAACGGUCCUAAGGUAGCGAAAUUCCUUGUCGGGUAAGUUCCGACCUGCACGAAUGGCGUAAUGAUGGCCAGGCUGUCUCCACCCGAGACUCAGUGAAAUUGAACUCGCUGUGAAGAUGCAGUGUACCCGCGGCAAGACGGAAAGACCCCGUGAACCUUUACUAUAGCUUGACACUGAACAUUGAGCCUUGAUGUGUAGGAUAGGUGGGAGGCUUUGAAGUGUGGACGCCAGUCUGCAUGGAGCCGACCUUGAAAUACCACCCUUUAAUGUUUGAUGUUCUAACGUUGACCCGUAAUCCGGGUUGCGGACAGUGUCUGGUGGGUAGUUUGACUGGGGCGGUCUCCUCCUAAAGAGUAACGGAGGAGCACGAAGGUUGGCUAAUCCUGGUCGGACAUCAGGAGGUUAGUGCAAUGGCAUAAGCCAGCUUGACUGCGAGCGUGACGGCGCGAGCAGGUGCGAAAGCAGGUCAUAGUGAUCCGGUGGUUCUGAAUGGAAGGGCCAUCGCUCAACGGAUAAAAGGUACUCCGGGGAUAACAGGCUGAUACCGCCCAAGAGUUCAUAUCGACGGCGGUGUUUGGCACCUCGAUGUCGGCUCAUCACAUCCUGGGGCUGAAGUAGGUCCCAAGGGUAUGGCUGUUCGCCAUUUAAAGUGGUACGCGAGCUGGGUUUAGAACGUCGUGAGACAGUUCGGUCCCUAUCUGCCGUGGGCGCUGGAGAACUGAGGGGGGCUGCUCCUAGUACGAGAGGACCGGAGUGGACGCAUCACUGGUGUUCGGGUUGUCAUGCCAAUGGCACUGCCCGGUAGCUAAAUGCGGAAGAGAUAAGUGCUGAAAGCAUCUAAGCACGAAACUUGCCCCGAGAUGAGUUCUCCCUGAC
rnacentral:rRNA from 1 species